rnacentral:lncRNA from 1 species
UCGUCCCAUUUCUUCAAAAUCAUCCUUUCAGAUAUGCCUUCUUCAAAAAUCAAUCCUAAUUUAUUUUCCUACUUUGUAUCUUUUAACCUUGGAAAACUGUACAGUGUAAACUAAGUGGACUUUUCUUCUGAUGCGUAGCUCUAAUAUCCUUGUAAAGUGGACACAGAGCAUCUGCCGAAGAGUCAGGAAAGUUAGAGAACAUUUGCUUUUACUGACUUAGUUCUGAAUAUUUAUUCAUUCUUUAAAUUAAAAAUUCCUUAUUAUUCCUGCUUUCUUUGGCAUUCAAGUCAGAAAGAAACUGAAAUUUAAAAUAAGUUAAAAAAAGAAAGUAGUAGAGAAAUCAAGAUCACUUGUGACUAUUUUCACAGAGGGUUAAGUAACUGCCAGAGAACCCUAGAGCCAAGUAGGCUGUAAAUUAAUACAAUUACAAAAGCACAUUCCGAUGAUGCAGACUUAUAGCCAUUAAAAUAAAAAUCUGGAA